UCGAACGGGUGGAGUAAUAUAUCGGAACGUACCCAGAAGUGGGGGAUAACGUAGCGAAAGUUACGCUAAUACCGCAUACGAUCUACGGAUGAAAGUGGGGGACCUUCUGGCCUCAUGCUUGUGGAGCGGGCGAUAUCUUAUUAGCUAGUUGGUAGGGUAAAGGCGUACUUUGGGGAUUAUUCCCCCUGGCCUUAUCCGCCCCUUUUCUCCUGGUAUUAUACUU
rnacentral:rRNA from 1 species